UUAAGCGACUAAGCGUACACGGUGGAUGCCCUGGCAGUCAGAGGCGAUGAAGGGCGUGCUAAUCUGCGAUAAGCGCCGGUAAGGUGAUAUGAACCGUUAUAACCGGCGAUACCCGAAUGGGGAAACCCAGUGUGACUCGUCACACUAUCAUUAACUGAAUCCAUAGGUUAAUGAGGCGAACCGGGGGAACUGAAACAUCUAAGUACCCCGAGGAAAAGAAAUCAACCGAGAUUCCCCCAGUAGCGGCGAGCGAACGGGGAGGAGCCCAGAGCCUGAAUCAGCAUGUGUGUUAGUGGAAGCGUCUGGAAAGGCGCGCGAUACAGGGUGACAGCCCCGUACACAAAAGCGCAUGUGCUGUGAGCUCGAUGAGUAGGGCGGGACACGUGGUAUCCUGUCUGAAUAUGGGGGACCAUCCUCCAAGGCUAAAUACUCCUGACUGACCGAUAGUGAACCAGUACCGUGAGGGAAAGGCGAAAAGAACCCCGGCGAGGGGAGUGAAAAAGAACCUGAAACCGUGUACGUACAAGCAGUGGGAGCCCCACCACCAAAGCAUUCUCUGGUGUUGAAGGCCCUGCAAAGCAGCAUCGCGGUGGCGGAGCGUCGUUUGCGACGCCCAACACACAAAACAAGCGGUGAAUGCUUUGGGGUGGGGUGACUGCGUACCUUUUGUAUAAUGGGUCAGCGACUUAUAUUCUGUAGCAAGGUUAACCGAAUAGGGGAGCCGGAGGGAAACCGAGUCUUAAUUGGGCGUUAAGUUGCAGGGUAUAGACCCGAAACCCGGUGAUCUAGCCAUGGGCAGGUUGAAGGUUGGGUAACACUAACUGGAGGACCGAACCGACUAAUGUUGAAAAAUUAGCGGAUGACCUGUGGCUGGGGGUGAAAGGCCAAUCAAACCGGGAGAUAGCUGGUUCUCCCCGAAAGCUAUUUAGGUAGCGCCUCGUGAAUUCAUCUCCGGGGGUAGAGCACUGUUUCGGCUAGGGGGCCAUCCCGGCUUACCAACCCGAUGCAAACUGCGAAUACCGGAGAAUGUUAUCACGGGAGACACACGGCGGGUGCUAACGUCCGUCGUGAAGAGGGAAACAACCCAGACCGCCAGCUAAGGUCCCAAAGUCAUGGUUAAGUGGGAAACGAUGUGGGAAGGCCCAGACAGCCAGGAUGUUGGCUUAGAAGCAGCCAUCAUUUAAAGAAAGCGUAAUAGCUCACUGGUCGAGUCGGCCUGCGCGGAAGAUGUAACGGGGCUAAACCAUGCACCGAAGCUGCGGCAGCGACGCUGAUGCGUUGUUGGGUAGGGGAGCGUUCUGUAAGCCUGCGAAGGUGACCUGUGAGGGUUGCUGGAGGUAUCAGAAGUGCGAAUGCUGACAUAAGUAACGAUAAAGCGGGUGAAAAGCCCGCUCGCCGGAAGACCAAGGGUUCCUGUCCAACGUUAAUCGGGGCAGGGUGAGUCGACCCCUAAGGCGAGGCCGAAAGGCGUAGUCGAUGGGAAACGGGUUAAUAUUCCCGUACUUGGUGUUACUGCGAAGGGGGGACGGAGAAGGCUAUGUUGGCCGGGCGACGGUUGUCCCGGUUUAAGCGUGUAGGUGUGUGUUCCAGGUAAAUCCGGUUCACUUUAACACUGAGGCGUGAUGACGAGGCACUACGGUGCUGAAGCAACAAAUGCCCUGCUUCCAGGAAAAGCCUCUAAGCAUCAGGUAACAUCAAAUCGUACCCCAAACCGACACAGGUGGUCAGGUAGAGAAUACCAAGGCGCUUGAGAGAACUCGGGUGAAGGAACUAGGCAAAAUGGUGCCGUAACUUCGGGAGAAGGCACGCUGACACGUAGGUGAAGUGAUUUACUCACGGAGCUGAAGUCAGUCGAAGAUACCAGCUGGCUGCAACUGUUUAUUAAAAACACAGCACUGUGCAAACACGAAAGUGGACGUAUACGGUGUGACGCCUGCCCGGUGCCGGAAGGUUAAUUGAUGGGGUCAGCGCAAGCGAAGCUCCUGAUCGAAGCCCCGGUAAACGGCGGCCGUAACUAUAACGGUCCUAAGGUAGCGAAAUUCCUUGUCGGGUAAGUUCCGACCUGCACGAAUGGCGUAAUGAUGGCCAGGCUGUCUCCACCCGAGACUCAGUGAAAUUGAACUCGCUGUGAAGAUGCAGUGUACCCGCGGCAAGACGGAAAGACCCCGUGAACCUUUACUAUAGCUUGACACUGAACAUUGAGCCUUGAUGUGUAGGAUAGGUGGGAGGCUUUGAAGUGUGGACGCCAGUCUGCAUGGAGCCGACCUUGAAAUACCACCCUUUAAUGUUUGAUGUUCUAACGUGGACCCGUAAUCCGGGUUGCGGACAGUGUCUGGUGGGUAGUUUGACUGGGGCGGUCUCCUCCUAAAGAGUAACGGAGGAGCACGAAGGUUGGCUAAUCCUGGUCGGACAUCAGGAGGUUAGUGCAAUGGCAUAAGCCAGCUUGACUGCGAGCGUGACGGCGCGAGCAGGUGCGAAAGCAGGUCAUAGUGAUCCGGUGGUUCUGAAUGGAAGGGCCAUCGCUCAACGGAUAAAAGGUACUCCGGGGAUAACAGGCUGAUACCGCCCAAGAGUUCAUAUCGACGGCGGUGUUUGGCACCUCGAUGUCGGCUCAUCACAUCCUGGGGCUGAAGUAGGUCCCAAGGGUAUGGCUGUUCGCCAUUUAAAGUGGUACGCGAGCUGGGUUUAGAACGUCGUGAGACAGUUCGGUCCCUAUCUGCCGUGGGCGCUGGAGAACUGAGGGGGGCUGCUCCUAGUACGAGAGGACCGGAGUGGACGCAUCACUGGUGUUCGGGUUGUCAUGCCAAUGGCACUGCCCGGUAGCUAAAUGCGGAAGAGAUAAGUGCUGAAAGCAUCUAAGCACGAAACUUGCCCCGAGAUGAGUUCUCCCUGAGACUUUAGGUCUCCUGAAGGAACGUUGAAGACGACGACGUUGAUAGGCCGGGUGUGUAAGCGCAGCGAUGCGUUGAGCUAACCGGUACUAAUGAACCGUGAGGCUUAACCU
rnacentral:rRNA from 1 species